rnacentral:rRNA from 1 species
AUUGAACGCUGGCGGCAUGCCUUACACAUGCAAGUCGAACGGUAACAGGUCUUCGGAUGCUGCCGAGUGGCGAACGGGUGCGUAAUACAUCGGAACGUGCCCGAACGUGGGGGAUAACGAGGCGAAAGCUUUGCUAAUACCGCAUACGAUCUACGGAUGAAAGCGGGGGAUCUUCGGACCUCGCGCGGACGGAGCGGCCGAUGGCAGAUUAGGUAGUUGGUGGGAUAAAAGCUUACCAAGCCGACGAUCUGUAGCUGGUCUGAGAGGAUGAUCAGCCACACUGGGACUGAGACACGGCCCAGACUCCUACGGGAGGCAGCAGUGGGGAAUUUUGGACAAUGGGCGAAAGCCUGAUCCAGCCAUGCCGCGUGCAGGAUGAAGGCCUUUGGGUUGUAAACUGCUUUUGUACGGAAAGAAAAGCCUCUUUCUAAUAAAGAGGGGUCAUGACGGUACCGUAAGAAUAAGCACCGGCUAACUACGUG